AGCUAUUACUGUUAGAAUUGGAAGGAACCUCAGAGUUCUAGCCCCCAGUCACCUCAUUUUACAAGGGAACAGAAGGAAGGCAGAUAGAAUAACUUGUCUGAUGUCACCUAGGAAAGUCAGCUUGGAGCAGAGGCAAGAGCCUGGUUCUCCUGAAUUCCUAGCUCCUGCUCUGGAUUCAACCCCCCAUUACCAGCCUUCAAACUUUACGAUCACCUAUGUCUUCCUGGGGGAGAUCCUACAGGUCUUCAAACAAGCAUGUCAUUUGCAGAAGCAACAACAGUCCUCUUCUGUUUCGUCGCUUUCCAACACUCCCAGGGUGACUUGUCUCUUUCCUUAUGAUUGCUAAGUACCCAGCACUUUCCCAUGCAGGAAGCUUAUGGCAAACUAAUUAACAUUUAAUGAGAGGAAACCAACUGAUUAGAAUGAUUUUCCUGGUACUCGAGCUAAUAAAUGUUGCAUGGACUCUG